GACAGAGGGUGCAAACGUUGUUCGGAAUUACUGGGCGUAAAGCGAGUGUAGGCGGUCCGAUAAGUCGGGUGUGAAAGCCCUGGGCUCAACCCAGGAAGUGCACUCGAAACUGCCGGGCUAGAGUAUCGGAGAGGUUGGUGGAAUUCUCGGUGUAGAGGUGAAAUUCGUAGAUAUCGAGAGGAACACCUGCGGCGAAGGCGGGUUGCUGGGCUGACACUGACGCUGAUGCGCGAAAGCUAGGGGAGCGAACGGG
rnacentral:rRNA from 1 species